rnacentral:snRNA from 1 species
AUGCUUACCUGGCAGGGGAGAUAACAUGAUCAUAAAGAUGGUUUUUCCAGGGUAAGACUUAGCCAUUGCACUCUGGAUGUGCUAACCUCUGUGAUUUCCCCAAACUCGACUGCAUAAAUUGUGGUAGUAGGGCACUACAUUGACCCUCU